UUUUUCUAUUUUAUUCUUUAACCACGGCUAAACUAAGGAGACCGAUAAUAACAAAGAAGAGCGAGAGAAAACCCAAUCACUUGUCUAUUCUCAGGCAGAAGAGGUAGAUUGGUGGAGUUAGAGCAAUGAGAAAUUAAAGACCAAGAUAAGGUGAAUUUGAAGAUCCGAGGAGGAGUGAAAGAAGAAAAGGUGUCUCAAGCAAGAUGGUGUUGUAGAAAAAUUGUGCAUUGUGAAUGCUUUGAAAUUUACAACUAUAUGUAACUUGAAACAUAUUAUGGAAUGUAAAUCCUUUUUAUUCGUAGCUACUUUAUUAAAAUCUUAUGUGUAACUUUGAAUUUA